GAAGAACAUGGGCAGAACUAAACUUUGGUGCGCUGAUGUGUCACCCCAUGUCUAAAACAUACCAGCUGAAGACUCUGCCUGAUGUAUUCACAUCAAGUUGUCCCAUUCUGUAAGGUGUGAAAAGCAACGGGAGGUACCAGUGCUGAACACUUUGUGAGAGCAGGUCUUGUGUCAGCAAAGAUCACCAGCACCAUGUGCCCUUCUUAGAUGCUGUUGAAGUUUAACACAGACUUGGAGUCUCAUCAUUUUGCCCCAGCUUUGAGGACCGCUGUGUUCUCAGACGACCUAUCAAGUCCCAUGGUUUAGGAAUGCUCAGUAUUUAUCCUGUUCCAUAGCAC
rnacentral:lncRNA from 1 species